CUGGUAGCUGUGAUCCGUUUGAGCCUCUCUGGAAGCAUCUGCUGUGCAGCUUCUCCCCUGCGGUCUCAGAGUAACUACCACCCUGAGGUUGGUGUUUGUCCUUCCGAUGCUUGGCUUUGAGCAUUUGCCGUGUGUAGAAUCCAUUCGUAUGCAGUAAAAACUUCAUUUAAUGGUAUCCUAUUUGGAGGAUCUCUCUGCAAUUUAAUUUUCACAGGAUGCGUAAAGAGAAGGAAGGGACUGAAGGCUGCUGUCCACAGACCUGAGAAAUGGUACUUCAAAGCUCCCUGUACUGCCUGGGGAAGGGAGCAAGUGCGGAAGUCACCACCAGAUUGCCAGAGGAACUCAGCAGCACUCUCCCAUGUGGAUAGUCUCGUCCGCAGGUCUGUCUGGGUUUUUCACACAGAGACAAUAAGAGCAAGUCCCAACCACAGCUGCCUGAUAGUUUUGCAGUUGGUCUACCCACACUUACCCCUUCCUUCCUGCCCUUCUAUACCCACACACUGGGGCCCCAGGCACAGGGUGCAGCAGGCACAGGUGUUGCAUGCACGAGGUGCCAUGCUCACAUUCCUCCAUGGUGCUGUGACUUCACCAGCAUUCUGUGUUCCCCAGACGGUCUUAAAACCAAAGCUUUAAUUUUGUGACUGUUUGGGGGUCUGUCAUAGGUUUCCUCCCUGGCUCCCAAAUCAUAC
rnacentral:lncRNA from 1 species